rnacentral:rRNA from 1 species
UGAGGAAUAUUGGACAAUGGGCUCACGCCUGAUCCAGCCAUGCCGCGUGCAGGAAGAAAGCCCUAUGGGUUGUAAACUGCUUUUAUACGGGAAGAAUAAAAUGACGGUAGCCAAGGAGGAAGCCCCGGCUAACUACGUGCCAGCAGCCGCGGUAAUAA